AGAGAGAGAGAGAGAGAGAGGACGAGACAGAAAAACCACAAGAGAAUAGAGAUUAGAAAUAAACGGAAAUUGAUAGGGGAUCAUGAGAGAGAAUCCAUUGGCCUGGAUAUGGAGAAUUUUCUGGGAUAGAGGAGAGGAGUUUUGGAUGAGUGAAAGAAAGACGAAGAAAGGAGAAGUCUUAUAUAGGAAAUAGGAGUGAACUAUUAACUUCGUUAACUGAGUAAUU
rnacentral:misc_RNA from 1 species